CUGACAGCCGUGAAGACUCGAGCCCUCAAUUUACUUAUCCGCAGAACAAAUAGAGUGGAAACAGUGGCAAACCCCAGCCUCUCACACAGCACUUCCACUGCCGGUCACACCCUGACCUAGGAAGACCUUCUCCAAAGGGUGAGAAGGUUGCAGUUUCCAGACUUAUGCAGGCUUGAUUUCU
rnacentral:sRNA from 7 species